rnacentral:rRNA from 1 species
AGAGUUUGAUCCUGGCUCAGAACGAACGCUGGCGGCAUGCCUAACACAUGCAAGUCGAACGAUCACUUCGGUGAUAGUGGCGCACGGGUGCGUAACGCGUGGGAAUCUGCCUUGGGGUACGGAAUAACAGUUAGAAAUGACUGCUAAUACCGUAUGAUGUCUUCGGACCAAAGAUUUAUCGCCCUGAGAUGAGCCCGCGUAGGAUUAGCUAGUUGGUGGGGUAAAGGCCUGCCAAGGCGACGAUCCUUAGCUGGUCUGAGAGGAUGAUCAGCCACACUGGGACUGAGACACGGCCCAGACUCCUACGGGAGGCAGCAGUGGGGAAUAUUGGACAAUGGGCGAAAGCCUGAUCCAGCAAUGCCGCGUGAGUGAUGAAGGCCUUAGGGUUGUAAAGCCCUUUUACCCGGGAAGAUAAUGACUGUACCGGGAGAAUAAGCCCCGGCUAACUCCGUG